GUCGGGUGCAGUGGCGCGCGCCUGUAAUCCAAGCUGCUGGGAGGCUGAGGCUGGCGGAUCGCUUGAGUUCAGGGGUUCUGGGCUGCAGUGGACUAUGUCGAUCGGGUGUCCGCACUAAGUUCGGUAUCGAUAUGGUGCUCCUGGGGGAGCUCGGGACCACCAGGUCGUCUAAGGAGGGGUGAACCGGCCCAGGUCGGAGACGGAGCAGGUCAAAGCCCCCGUGUCGAUCAGUAGUGGGGUCGCGCCUGUGAAUAGACACUGCAGUGCAGCCUGUGCGAUACAGCGAGACUCAGACUUU
rnacentral:SRP_RNA from 1 species